rnacentral:rRNA from 1 species
UACGGGGGGAGCAAGCGUUGUUCGGAUUUACUGGGCGUAAAGGGCGCGUAGGCGGCCACUGCAAGUCGGCUGUGAAAUCUCCGGGCUUAACCCGGAAAGGUCAAUCGAUACUGCAGGGCUAGAGUGCAGAAGGGGCAACUGGAAUUCUCGGUGUAGCGGUGAAAUGCGUAGAUAUCAAGAGGAACACCUGAGGUGAAGACGGGUUGCUGGGCCGACACUGACGCUGAUGCGCGAAAGCCAGGGGAGCAAACAGG